rnacentral:rRNA from 1 species
AUUGAACGCUGGCGGCAGGCCUAACACAUGCAAGUCGAGCGGAUGAAGGGAGCUUGCUCCUGGAUUCAGCGGCGGACGGGUACGUAAUGCCAAGGAAUCUGCCUGGUAGUGGGGGAUAACGUCCGGAAACGGGCGCUAAUACCGAAUACGUCCUGAGGGAGAAAGUGGGGGUCCUUCGUACCUCACGCUAUCAGAUGAGCCUUGGUCGAAUUAGCUAGUUGGUGGGGUAAAGGCCUACCAAGGCGACGAUCCGUAACUGGUCUGAGAGGAUGAUCAGUAACACUGGAACUGAGACACGGUCCAGACUCCUACGGGAGGCAGCAGUGGGGAAUAUUGGACAAUGGGCGAAAUCCUGCUCCAGCCAUGCCGCGUGUGUGAAGAAGGUCUUCGGAUUUUAAAGCACUUUAAGUUGGGAGGAAGGGCAGUAAGUUAAUACCUUGCUGUUUUGACGUUACCAACAUAAUAAGCACCGGCUAACUUCGUG